UACGGAGGAUCCAAGCGUUAUCCGGAAUCAUUGGGUUUAAAGGGUCCGUAGGCGGUUUAAUAAGUCAGUGGUGAAAGCCCAUCGCUCAACGGUGGAACGGCCAUUGAUACUGUUAAACUUGAAUUAUUAGGAAGUAACUAGAAUAUGUAGUGUAGCGGUGAAAUGCUUAGAGAUCACAUGGAAUACCAAUUGCGAAGGCAGGUUACUACUAAUGGAUUGACGCUGAUGGACGAAAGCGUGGGUAGCGAACAGG
rnacentral:rRNA from 1 species